rnacentral:rRNA from 1 species
UGCCAGACUCCUACGGGAGGCAGCAGUGAGGAAUAUUGGUCAAUGGCCGGAAGGCUGAACCAGCCAAGCCGCGUGAAGGACGAAGGUGCCAAGCAUUGUAAACUUCUUUUGUCAGGGGACAAAAUCAGGCUCGAGAGCCUGACCGAGGGUACUUGAAGAAAAAGCAUCGGCUAACUCCGUGCCAGCAGCCGCGGUAAUACGGAGGAUGCGAGCGUUAUCCGGAUUUAUUGGGUUUAAAGGGUGCGUAGGCGGACUGGAAAGUCAGCGGUAAAAUCGAGAGGCUCAACCUCUUUCCGCCGUUGAAACUGUCGGUCUUGAGUGGGCGAGAAGUAUGCGGAAUGCGUGGUGUAGCGGUGAAAUGCAUAGAUAUCACUCAGAACUCCGAUUGCGAAGGCAGCAUACCGGCGCCCGACUGACGCUGAGGCACGAAAGCGUGGGUAUCGAACAGGAUUAGAUACCCGCGUACG